AGCAGCCGCGGUAAUUCCAGCUCCAAUAGCGUAUAUUAAAGUUGUUGCAGUUAAAAAGCUCGUAGUUGAAUUUCGGGAUUGACGUGAUGGUCGUGCCUUACGGGGUAUGAACUGUUGCAGUCAAUUUCUCACCUUCUGGAGAAAUAUGAUGUCCUUAAUUGGGUGUCAUAUGGAACCAGAACUUUUACCUUGAAAAAAUUAGAGUGUUUAAAGCAGGCUUAUUGCUCGAAUACAUUAGCAUGGAAUAAUAAAAUAGGACGGCAUGGUUCUAUUUUGUUGGUUUCUAGGAUCACCGUAAUGAUUAAUAGGGAUAGUUGGGGGCAUUAGUAUUCAAUUGUCAGAGGUGAAAUUCUUGGAUUUAUUGAAGACUAACUACUGCGAAAGCAUUUGCCAAGGAUGUUUUCAUUAAUCAAGAACGAAAGUUAGGGGAUCGAAGACGAUCAGAUACCGUCGUAGUCUUAACCAUAAACUAUGCCGACUAGGGAUCGGAUGAUGUUAAUUUUUUAAUGACUCAUUCGGC
rnacentral:misc_RNA from 1 species